CACAAACUUUAACUUACAAACAACCCGCCAGAGAACUACGAGCUACGCUUAAAACUCAAAGGACUUGACGGUACCCUAUACCCCACUAGAGGAGCCUGUCCUAUAAUCGAUAACCCCCGUUAAACCUCACCCUCUUUAGCUUAACAGCCUGUAUACUUCCGUCACCAGCUCACCACGUGAGCGCAACUCAGUGAGCCCUUCGUACUACACAUAAACGUCAGGUCAAAGUGCAGCAAAUAAGAGGGGAAGAGAUGGGCUACAUUCUCUAAAUUAGAGUAUACGAAAAGCUAAGUGAAACCUAGCUAGAAGGUGGAUUUAGAAGUAAGAAGAGAGUAGAGUACUCUUCUAAACCCGGCACUUGGGUAUGUACACACCGCCCGUCACCCUCCUCAAGACCUUUAAUUAGUAUAUAACACCAAACAGUCACAAAG
rnacentral:rRNA from 1 species